GCUUAAAAAGUGCCUUUUAAAAGCAGGAAGCCACAUCCUCCAAGGGCGAGACAAGUGGCCUUAGAAAGCUGCAGCUUUAGAAGUCAGGAAGUUUGGACAGAGAAUUGAAGCACUGGAGGCGAGCAACCAGACAGAGUCGCAGGAGAGCCAGGCAGAUGGUGGCCUGUCACAGGAACGCCUGGUCACCCAGGAAGGCUGUCAUAAUCAUCUGAAAAGUUUGGAGAUGCGGACUGGCUUCCUUGUUCCUCAGCUUGCAGAUGGCCUACUGUGCGAUUUCACCUGGUGAUCAUGU
rnacentral:lncRNA from 1 species